rnacentral:rRNA from 1 species
AAUAGAACCCUGGUAGUCCACGCCGUAAACGAUGAGUGCUAAGUGUUAGAGGGUUUCCGCCCUUUAGUGCUGCAGCUAACGCAUUAAGCACUCCGCCUGGGGAGUACGGUCGCAAGACUGAAACUCAAAGGAAUUGACGGGGGCCCGCACAAGCGGUGGAGCAUGUGGUUUAAUUCGAAGCAACGCGAAGAACCUUACCAGGUCUUGACAUCCCACUGACCGGUAUAGAGAUAUACCUUUCCCUUCGGGGACAGUGGUGACAGGUGGUGCAUGGUUGUCGUCAGCUCGUGUCGUGAGAUGUUGGGUUAAGUCCCGCAACGAGCGCAACCCUUGAUCUUAGUUGCCAGCAUUUAGUUGGGCACUCUAAGGUGACUGCCGGUGACAAACCGGAGGAAGGUGGGGAUGACGUCAAAUCAUCAUGCCCCUUAUGACCUGGGCUACACACGUGCUACAAUGGAUGGUACAAAGGGCUACAAGACUGCGAAGUCAAGCCAAUCCCAUAAAACCAUUCUCAGUUCGGAUUGCAGGCUG